UACGUAGGGUGCGAGCGUUAAUCGGAAUUACUGGGCGUAAAGCGUGCGCAGGCGGUUCGUUGUGUCCGAUGUGAAAGCCCCGGGCUUAACCUGGGAAUGGCAUUGGAAACUAGCGGGCUGGAGUGUGGCAGAGGGGGGUGGAAUUCCACGGUGUAAGCAGUGAAAUGCGUAGAGAUGUGGAGGAACACCGAUGGCGAAGGCAGCCCCCUGGGCUAACACGUGACGCCUCAUGCACGAAAGCGUGGGGAGCAAACAGG
rnacentral:rRNA from 1 species